rnacentral:rRNA from 1 species
CGCACGGAGCGAAAGCUCAGUGGCGGACGGGUGAGUAACACGUAGGAACCUGCCCAGAAGUGGGGGAUAACUCCUCGAAAGAGGAGCUAAUACCGCAUACGGUCCACGGACCAAAGCAGCAAUGCGCUUCUGGAGGGGCCUGCGGCGGAUUAGCUAGUUGGUGGGGUAACGGCCUACCAAGGCAACGAUCCGUAUCUGGUCUGAGAGGAUGGACAGCCACAUUGGGACUGAGACACGGCCCAGACUCC